GUAAGACUUCAGCAGCACAUAUACUAAAAUUGGAAUGAUACAGAGAAGAUUAGCAUGGCUCCUGCGUAAGGAUGACAUGCAAAUUCAAGAAGCAUCCCAUAUACAU
rnacentral:snRNA from 1 species